rnacentral:rRNA from 1 species
UACGUAGGGUGCGAGCGUUAAUCGGAAUUACUGGGCGUAAAGCGUGCGCAGGCGGUUCGCCAAGUCAGGUGUGAAAUCCCCGGGCUUAACCUGGGAAUUGCGCUUGAAACUAGCGGGCUUGAGUGUGGCAGAGGGGGGUGGAAUUCCACGUGUAGCAGUGAAACGCGUAGAGAUGUGGAGGAACACCGAUGGCGAAGGCAGCCCCCUGGGUCAACACUGACGCUCAUGCACGAAAGCGUGGGGAGCGAACGGG